rnacentral:lncRNA from 1 species
AUGUUCCAAAUGAUGUUCCACAUCAACCCAGCCUACCGUCGUUGUAGUAUUAAAAGGGCAGGAGCAAACACCUUGUACUACUGUCUCGUAGUCUCUACCUCCUCAAAAAACCUGACACUUCUAUCCAGGACCCCCACAUCUGUUUGUCUGGGUCCAGGCUAUGUGACUUCCAUUCAUCCAUUCAAACUAGUGCAUGGCUUUUAGAGACCUUCCUACUGGCUUUUCCUACAUAGAAGGUAAUGAUAAAAAAAAAGAUGUGGCUCAUUCAUAAAACGAUAUGACUCGUUCGCCCACAAGUACAAAGACAUGUAUGGCACACCAAUGUUAAAUGUAAAAAGCCCACAGUCUUCACCUCGGUAAAGGACACAGAGGAGCAACACAACAGGGUCGUCUUCAUUAGGGCACACAGCAGAAAACCGUGUUCAAAACAUUUUGUAACUGGAAAAAAAUGAAAAUGAACGUUUCUUUUUUUUAGACAAAUCCAGGUAGGCCCUUCCGUGUUGCAGUCCGUUUUCUUCCAUUUGAUGCCUAAUGAACCCAAUCCAGGCCUCCACACACAUUGUUGCAGGAUGGAAGACCAUUCAAUCCAGAUUCUAGCUCUAUACAUAGUGUUAGUGUUAGUUUGAAAGUGCCACCAUCUUGGAAUAACUCCUCCCCCUGCUGUCUGAACUACAGACCCAAACUAGUCAACAUCAGCUAUCAUUGGCAAGUUAUCGGUUGUGAUCAAUUACGUAACAGACAACUUAGUACAGACCUUUUGUCAAAUCAACUGUAGUCAUAUUUUUUUUUUAAGUUUUAAAAAUUAUGACUCCAUGCCCACAUUGAAAAUGAACAGUUUGAUAUCAAUUGUACUCAAUGUUUUUUUUUUUGUUCAUCCAUUCUGGAAUUGUUUUUGUAUUUAUUUUCCACACUCACAUAAACCUAGCAAUUUGAUACUAUUAAUGCACUCCGUACUAAAGUAAGUGUAUGUCCGAAAUGGCACCCUAAACCCUACAUAGUGCACUACUUUUGACCAGGGUGCAUAGGGCUAAAUAGUGAAUAGGGUGCCAUUUUGAAUGCUUGCCAUAAAAUGUCUCUUAAAAAAAAAAAACUUUAAAAAACCGCAUCACUGACCUAAUAUAACAGGCAGAAUCAUCAGCUUUCCGUUAGUGGUUAUUUGUUCUAUUCUUCUGCAUCAAAACAUAUCAAGAAAAAGAAGAAGUGUGUAAAAACUAAAAAUGAAGUUCCCUUUUCCUUUCUUUCCCCUGAUUCUUCUAUCCCGAAUCAUUACAUCGUGACGUGAUCAGAACAAGUCGUUACAUCGUGAUGUCAUCGUGACGUGAUCAGAACAAGUCGUUACAUCACGAUGUCAUCAUGCCGUGGUCGGAACAAGUCACAUUAAUCAUGAUGUCAUCGUGACGUGAUCAGAACAAGUCGUUACCCGAUGAAGAGAUCUUGGAGACCUUCAAUGUCAUAAAAGGUCAAAGGUGAGAAGUAGUGGGAAAAUGGUGGUGACCUUUUUGUUCAAUCCUUGGAACCUAGCAUCUAGCAACCGGACCCUAAACACAACGCCAUAGAGAAUUCCAUCCAUGUGAUUCCAUCACUGCAGAAAAAUAAGAACUUGAUUGGUGAAAUGCUGUCCAUUUACUAUUCCAGAUAUCUUCAUUUGUGUUACUGUCCUGAGAGUACAGUACUAACCCAAAAACAGUAAAGAAUCAUACGUACAUUUACAGUAGAAGAAAUAGUUUAGUUUUUUUCACUUAUGUUAC